GACGAACGCUGGCGGCGUGCUUAACACAUGCAAGUCGAACGGAGCGAAUGAAAGCUUGCUUUUAUAAGCUUAGUGGCAAACGGGUGAGUAACACGUAGACAACCUGCCGACAGGAUGGGGACAACAUUCCGAAAGGAAUGCUAAUACCGAAUGAAGUGCAGGGGAGGCAUCUCCCCUGCAUGAAAGAUGGCCUCUUUUUAUGCUAUCACCUGUUGAUGGGUCUGCGUCUGAUUAGCUGGUAGGUGAGGUAACGGCUCACCUAGGCGACGAUCAGUAGCCGGUCUGAGAGGAUGAACGGCCACAUUGGGACUGAGACACGGCCCAGACUCCUACGGGAGGCAGCAGUGGGGAAUCUUCCGCAAUGGGCGCAAGCCUGACGGAGCAACGCCGCGUGAGUGAAGAGGGUCUUCGGAUCGUAAAGCUCUGUUGAUGGGGACGAACGUGCCUAAUGCGAAUAGUUUUAGG
rnacentral:rRNA from 1 species